rnacentral:rRNA from 1 species
GAUGAACGCUGGCGGCGUGCCUAAUACAUGCAAGUCGAGCGAACGGACGAGAAGCUUGCUUCUCUGAUGUUAGCGGCGGACGGGUGAGUAACACGUGGAUAACCUACCUAUAAGACUGGGAUAACUUCGGGAAACCGGAGCUAAUACCGGAUAAUAUUUUGAACCGCAUGGUUCAAAAGUGAAAGACGGUCUUGCUGUCACUUAUAGCUGGAUCCGUGCUGCAUUAGCUAGUUGGUAAGGUAACGGCUUACCAAGGCAACGAUGCAUAGCCGACCUGAGAGGGUGAUCGACCACACUGGAACUGAGACACGGUCCAGACUCCUACGGGAGGCAGCAGUAGGGAAUCUUCCGCAAUGGGCGAAAGCCUGACGGAGCAACGCCGCGUGAGUGAUGAAGGUCUUCGGAUCGUAAAACUCUGUUAUUAGGGAAGAACAUAUGUGUAAGUAACUGUGCACAUCUUGACGGUACCUAAUCAGAAAGCCACGGCUAACUACGUG